GUGGGGAAUCUUGCGCAAUGGGCGAAAGCCUGACGCAGCCAUGCCGCGUGAAUGAUGAAGGUCUUAGGAUUGUAAAAUUCUUUCACCGGGGACGAUAAUGACGGUACCCGGAGAAGAAGCCCCGGCUAACUUCGUGCCAGCAGCCGCGGUAAUACGAAGGGGGCUAGCGUUGCUCGGAAUUACUGGGCGUAAAGGGCGCGUAGGCGGACAGUUUAGUCAGAGGUGAAAGCCCAGGGCUCAACCUUGGAAGUGCCUUUGAUACUGGCUGUCUUGAGUUUGGGAGAGGUGAGUGGAACUCCGAGUGUAGAGGUGAAAUUCGUAGAUAUUCGGAAGAACACCAGUGGCGAAGGCGACUCACUGGCCCAAUACUGACGCUGAGGCGCGAAAGCGUGGGGAGCAAACAGGAUUAGAAACCCGGGUAGUCC
rnacentral:rRNA from 1 species